AAUGGACUCAAAUUAACGACAGGAGUCACCGACAAAAUAAAACCGUCGAGUGAGCCAUGCUCCGAUCAAUCAAACUAAAAUUAACCUCACGAUCCACAAGAAACUUUCGAAAUGCCCAAGCCGAAGGGAACAUCAAAAUCCUCGUCUAUAUCGGAUAAGAAAUCGACUUCGAAAGGAAAAUCACCAUCGAAAAAAGGUAGAAAAGGGAAA